rnacentral:rRNA from 1 species
GCAUAUCAAUAAGCGGAGGAAAAGAAACCAACAGGGAUUGCCCUAGUAACGGCGAGUGAAGCGGCAACAGCUCAAAUUUGAAAUCUGGCUCUCUUUGGGGGUCCGAGUUGUAAUUUGCAGAGGAUGCUUUGGCAUUGGCGGCGGUCUAAGUUCCUUGGAACAGGACAUCGCAGAGGGUGAGAAUCCCGUACGUGGGCGCCUGCCUUUGCCGUGUAAAGCUCCUUCGACGAGUCGAGUUGUUUGGGAAUGCAGCUCUAAAUGGGAGGUAAAUUUCUUCUAAAGCUAAAUACCGGCCAGAGACCGAUAGCGCACAAGUAGAGUGAUCGAAAGAUGAAAAGUACUUUGGAAAGAGAGUCAAAAAGCACGUGAAAUUGUUGAAAGGGAAGCGCUUGCAGCCAGACUUGCCCGCAGUUGCUCACCUAGGCUUUGGCCUGGGGCACUCUUCUGCGGGCAGGCCAGCAUCAGUUUGGGCGGUUGGAUAAAGGCCUCUGUCACGUAUCUCCCUUCGGGGUGACCUUAUAGGGGAGGCGCAAUGCAACCAGCCCGGACUGAGGUCCGCGCAUCUGCUAGGAUGCUGGCGUAAUGGCUGUAAGCGGCCCGUCUUGAAACACGGACCAAGGAGUCUAACAUCUAUGCGAGUGUUUGGGUGUCAAGCCCGGGCGCGCAAUGAAAGUGAACGGAGGUGGGAACCCUUUGGGUGCACCAUCGACCGAUCCUGAUGUCUUCGGAUGGAUUUGAGUAAGAGCAUAGCUGUUGGGACCCGAAAGAUGGUGAACUAUGCUUGAAUAGGGUGAAGCCAGAGGAAACUCUGGUGGAGGCUCGCAGCGGUUCUGACGUGCAAAUCGAUCGUCAAAUUUGGGCAUAGGGGCGAAAGACUAAUCGAACCAUCUAGUAGCUGGUUCCUGCCG